rnacentral:rRNA from 1 species
AACUUUUAACAAUGGAUCUCUUGGCUCUCACAUCGAUGAAGAACCACAGCUGAAAUGUGAUAAGUAAUGUGAAUCGCAGAAUUCAGUGAAUCAUUGAAUCUUCGAACGCACCUUGCACCUGUUUGGUAUUCCAAGAGCGCUCCACACCUGUUUUGAGUUGUUCAU